GACGAACGCUGGCGGCGUGCUUAACACAUGCAAGUCGAACGGAAAGGCCCUGCUUGUGUGCGGUGCUCGAGUGGCGAACGGGUGAGUAACACGUGAGUAACCUGCCCUUGACUUUGGGAUAACUUCAGGAAACUGAGGCUAAUAUCGGAUAGGAGCUCCCGCUGCAUGGUGGGGGUUGGAAAGUUUCGGCGGUUGGGGAUGGACUCGCGGCUUAUCAGCUUGUUGGUUGGGUAGUGGCUUACCAAGGCUUUGAAGGGUAGGCGGCCUGAGAGGGUGACCGGCCACAUUGGGACUGAGAUACGGCCCAGACUCCAACGGGAGGCAGCGGUGGGGAGUAUUGCACAGUGGGCGGGAGCCUGAUGAGGCAACGCCGCGUGCGGGAAGACGGCCUUCGGGUUGUGAACCGCUUUCGCUUGUGACGAAGCGUUAGUGACGGUACUGGGUGAAGAAGCACCGGCUAACUACGUG
rnacentral:rRNA from 1 species